UUUUCACCUCACGUUCGGGGAACGUCCUGGCUCCAUCCCUUCCAGCGCUUUUUGUUUCUGUCCUUGGAGUCAUUCUUUCUUUCUUUUUUUUUUUAAGACGGAGUCUCGCUCUGUCACCCAGGCUGGGGUGCGGUGACAUGAUCUCGGCUCACUGCAAGCUCCGCCUCCCGGGUUCACGCCAUUCUCCUGCCUCAGCCUCCCGAGUAGCUGGGAUUACAGGCGCCCGCCACCACGCCCGGCUAAUUUUUUGUAUUUUUAGUAGAGGCGGGGUUGCACCAUGUUAGCCAGGAUGGUCUCGAUCUCCUGACCUCGUGAUCCACCCGCCUCGGCCUCCCACAGUGCUGGGAUGACAGGCGUGAGCCGCCACGCCCGGCCCCUCGGCGUCGUUCUUUCUGUUGCAUCCUCAUGGUUUUCUGUGGCCACGUGCUUUCGCUCAUCUCUUCGAGGACAUUCCUGAUAGUUUGUGCCUCUUCUUUUCAAGGCUUCUUCUCCUUGCACAAGACGGUCUGGAGAAAAACCCACAUUUCCUUCCGUCACACUGACCACAUUUAACUUAAAAUGGGAAGAGAGCAAAACAUUCCACAGGCAAAGUCAGGGGACUAUUUUAAUGACAGAGACACAUGGUUGAAAUCAAUGCUGCGCUCUGAACCCUUAGAAACCGUCGCGAAGGACUCCACGGAAGGGUGGGGGCAGCCCCAGCGAGGUCGUCAGGGAGCAGAGCCCGAGUCAUGGGACACAAGGCCAGACCCCUCAUCGCCAGGGAAGCGGAGUCACAGGCACGUGGCCCUCUGCGCCCGGGGUCAGGGCAUGGGAGGCAGAGCCUGAGACGGGGGUGCCCAUGCAGGGUGCGCUGGGGGUGGGGUUGUGGGGCCUCUCAGGGGCAAGGGGCAGGACCGGACAGCAGAGAGAUCCCACUCCUGCCUGGGACCCGCCGCCAUCGCCGCCGCGAGCCCUGGGCGUUGGGCGUUGGGGCCGGGCACCUGCCAGGAGGGCCUCAUCCGAGGUGGGGUGUCACCUGGGAUGUGUCCGCUGGCAAAUGGGAGAAACACCAGGGCGGCUGCCGGGGAAGUCGAUGUCAGGGAGCCCGUAGUCCUGAGCCCGUGUGUGGAGGAAGCCCUUUGUCUGAGGAGCCUGCGGCCGCCUUGGCCCCUGGAUGCUUGCAGGGAAUCUACACAGGGUUGUCAGGUACGACAAGGGUGCCCAGGGCUGAGGAGGGUGCCCAUGUGGCCUCCUACAAUGCGUAUGGGAAGCCGGUGAACGCCCGGCAGAUCACAAGGUCAGGAGAUUGAGACCAUCCUGGCUAACACGGUGAAACCCCGUCUCUACUAAAAAUACAAAAAAUUAGCUGGGCAUGGUGGCGGGCACCUGUAGUCCCAGCUACUCGGGAGGCUGAGGCAGGAGAAUGGCGUGAACUCAGGAGGCGGAGCUUGCAGUGAGCCGAGAUCACGCCACUGCACUUCAGCCUGGGUGACAGAGCGAGACUCCGUCUCAAAAAAAAAAAAAAAAAAAAAAGAAAGAAAGAAAUACAGGCCUCAGGUAACCAGUGCUGUCAAAACAUCCCCGCAUGGCGAAAUCCCUCACGCCCCCCUCCCCACAUGCCCGCGUCUGCUUUCUGCCCUGUCCCAAACCAUUCACCCCCUCACCCCGCCACCCCAACUCCACUCUCAAACCAUUCACCCCCUCAGCCCUGCCACCCCGACUCCACUCUCAAACCAUUCACCCCCUCACCCCGCCACCCCGACUCCACUCUCAAACCGUUCACCCCCUCACCCCUGCCACCCCGACUCCACUCUCAAAAACCAGAACAGGUCACCAGCGCUUCCCUCCCUAAACCGUUCUGUGCUGUCCUUGGAGCGCCAGUAACAUCCAGUUCCCCGAGGAACCAGGGGGCUGCCUCAGGGGGGAGGGGUCUCCUGCAGGCCUGGCACAGUGUGGCUGUCCCUACACCCAGACCCUGCACACGGCCCCGCGACACGGGGAGGCUGAGGCCUCGCAGGGCCCUGGGUGUCUCCACCAGCUCCUCGGGGUCCGCUGUCCUGCUGAGGUGCCCGCAGGACGCUUUCAGCGUUCCGCCCAGGGGCCCAGAGUGCCCGGGAGGCGCCUGUGUUUGCGCAUUUGGAGGCCGGUGGGGGUCUGUGCAGGCGCAGAGCCCCACAGUAGCAGGUGGCCCCGUGGGGAGGCUCCCCGAUGGGUACAUCCCGCAGCAGCCUCUGACAUCUGAGGCUGCAGCCCCUCUCAGGAGGGGACACCAUGAGGGGUGUGGCUUCCUCGCCAUCUGAGGCUGCAGCCCCUCUCAGGAGGGGGCACCGUGAGGGGUGUGGCUUCCUCGCCAUCUGAGGCUGCAGCCCCUCUCAGGAGGGGGACACCGUGAGGGGUGUGGCUUCCUCGCCAUCUGAGGCUGCAGCCCGUCUCAGGAGGGGGCACCGUGAGGGGUGUGGCUUCCUCGCCAUCUGAGGCUGC
rnacentral:lncRNA from 1 species